CAGCUGGUGGGGAGUUGUUUGAGAGGAUUUGCAAUGCUGGGAGAUUUAGUGAAGAUGAGGUCUGCUAAGUAUUUUCCUGAUUUGAGUGUUUUAUCUAUGACUAUGUUGCGAAAUUGGGUUGCGGGGCCAAACGAAAUCACCUUGAAACAUAGACUUUAUGUUGCUAAUUGCUUUAGUUACUGAAAGAUUAAACGAAAGGGGAAAACUUUCCAUUUCAGGUAAGGCCAAACUAAAAAAAAAUCUGUCCGGUUUGUCCUUCUGUUUGGAGAUUACACUGAGCUCGGUACGUUUGAUUUUGAGCUCAAGAUUUGCUUUGUUGUAAUUCACGCAGGCUAGGUAUUUCUUCCAGCAACUCAUCUCAGGAGUCAGCUAUUGCCAUACCAUGGUGAGCAUAAUGUCAAGUUGCCAUCGUUCUGUCUUUCUGCUGUAGCUUCGGACUAAUUUUUAAUCCUGUAUAUCUAUUACAGCAAAUAUGUCAUAGAGAUUUGAAGCUGGAAAAUACUCUACUGGAUGGUAGCCCUGCACCUCGUCUGAAGAUAUGUGAUUUUGGUUAUUCAAAGGUAACCUGUAGAUGAAGUUGGAUGAAAAGUGUCCAUGUGCUUAUUCUAAUCCUAUCGGUAACUUUUCCUCUUCUUUGUCCAUGCAUCUCUAGUCAUCCAUUCUGCAUUCAAGACCCAAAUCGACAGUUGGAACUCCAGCAUACAUUGCACCAGAGGUUCUCUCUAGAAGGGAAUAUGAUGGCAAGGUAUGCCAAUUUGAUGCUUUUAGAUAGGAAGUAGUUCCACAGUGAUUUACAGCUCAAAUCUUCGAUGCAAGAUUUCAUUUUGUCUUGUGCUGAAGGUGUGUAUGGAUGUGUGGCUCUUUUCAAUUGCCAGUCAUGUUAUAGUUUAUAGUGAAUUACAAGAUUACACUGCAGCUUCAUGAGUUCUGCAAUCCUUUCAUGUUUUGGAUGAGCAAGCAAUCUUCUCUACAGUCCCUUUUUUUUUUUUUUUUUUUUUUUUUUUUUUUUUUUCGGGUCAUGUUUUGGAUGAGCAAGCAAUCUUUUCUAGAUUGUUUCACCUCAUGCUUCUUGCUAUUAACUUAUAUUGGCAUACAACCAGGACUGUUGUUUCACCUCAUGCUUCUUGCUAUUAACUUAUAUUGGCAAUCUUUUCUAGAUUGUUUCAUAUGACCUUUUGCAGUCUCCUUUUGUAUAUGAUUUACUGGAAUGCUAAUUCUUGCCAACGUGUGAGUACCUGGCUAUGAUAUCUUUGAACUCUUCUGUGGGGCUAAAAUUUUUUCGAUCUUGUCUUCAUUAAAUCUCUUAAAUAGAUCUGCACAUUGAACAUUAAGUAGGUUGAUGUGUCCUGCCUAUCGCAAUACAGAUGACCUUACAUCUUGUGUCUCCAAUUGCCUCUGAAUCCACCAUAUGCCAAAUUUACUGUUUAUCAAGGACCUACUUUAUUUUGCAUCAAUUAUUGCUCCUGAAUACAUAAUAUGCCAAAGGUACUGUCUAUGGCUCCCUUGACGAGAGAUCUGCUUGCCAGAUAUGAGAACCAGUCUACUUUUUAGCAUUUCUUUUGUUCUCCUUUUUUCUCCUCACAAUCAUUGGAUUUGAUUUCAUCAUAAGCACUCUUAGCUUUCCCCCCAGUUGCAAUCCAUUUUAAGGUUAGGAUUAGGAUUUGAUGUCUCGUAUUUUUUGGUAUAAAAACUGCAUCUGAACCGAAAUUAAGAGUAGAAAGAGAAUGAACUGAAGGACUGGAAAUUGGAGGAAGAGAAAGUUCCUCAGCUGUUUGGAGUAACUUAAACUGUUUGAAUCGAGUAAAAUGUAGAAUUCUGAUAUCUUGAAUUAACCUUUGUGUCCUCCAAGAUGUCCUAUUAAAGACAAAUACGUUUGAGUCAAUUUGGUGAUAAAAUGGGAACUCUUACACAAAAAUUCUGUCCAUAUUCUUAUAAAUUAAAAUUAGCGAAUUCUGUCCAUUUACUGCUCCAAGAUAGAGCGAUGAGAACUCGUGCUUCGGAAAGUAAAUUUUUGAGUCCACAUUUUCCCGUUGUGUGAUAAUUUUUCUGCAAUGAGGCAAAAGUUAAGAAGUGUGUCCUCUUGAGUCUUAUUGGUUCCUUGAAUAUACAGAUGGCAGAUGUGUGGUCUUGUGGAGUAACUCUUUAUGUGAUGUUGGUUGGAGCGUAUCCAUUUGAAGACCCUCAAGACCCAAAGAAUUUUAGGAAAACUAUGAAUGUGAGUGCACUUUCUUUUAGGCAGAUAAUUGAUGUAAUCCAUUUCCCUUUUUCACGCCACUUAAACUGACACACAUGUUUUCUUUUUGCAGCGUAUAAUGGCUGUACAGUAUAAUAUCCCCGACUAUGUUCAUAUAUCUCAAGACUGUAAACACCUCCUUUCUCGCAUUUUUGUCGCAAGUCCAUCCAGGGUAUGUAGAUUAAGGAGAUGUGCUUUUAUCUGAGGAUGCAAUCAAGUGAACUGUUGAAUGUCAAUGAUUGUUUGUAACAUCUCCCUUUCCUUUUGAACCAUGCGCCAGGCCAUGCAUACGUUCUUCCUGCUAUUUCGAUUGUCAUAUUCUUCUAUUUUGGGGCCACAAGGUGUUUUGCUUCAUCGUUUGACUAGUGAGGCUGGGAUUAGUCUAUAACAAAAAAAUAAAGAACAGAAAACCCAAGCUUGGUGGUGGGAGAAGCGAUUGGGUCAUUACUUUUCUGUGAAAAUAAGAAUUGUAUUAACAGUCCUUGCAUCCACACUAGUAACUGUUACUGUGAUAUUCUUUCCAGAGAACCACUAUCAAAGAAAUCAAGUGUCACCCAUGGUUCCUCAAGAAUUUACCGAGGGAAUUAACAGAAGCAGCUCAAGCCAUAGAAUACAGAAAAGGAAACCCGGGUGUCUGCCUUCAAAGUGAUGAAGAAAUCAUGAAAAUUGUGGAAGAGGCUAGAGUUCCCCCUCCUGCUUCCAGAACAGUUUCAGGCUUUGGUUGGGCAGGAGAAGAUGAUGACGACGACGAUGACGGCGGAGACUUGAAAGAAGGAGACUUGAAAGAAGAAGACGUGGAGGAAGAUGACGAAGACGAGUAUGAGAAGAGAGUGAAGGAGGCACAAGCAAGUGGAGAAUUUCAGGUCACCUAGAUCUAUUCCUCGUCGGGGUCUCAUUGUUUUCUGUUAAUCCGGAUCUUUGUCGCCUGUUGGCUCCAAUAAGUUUACUCUGUAAAUUUUGGUGUCAGAAGUGUCUGUAGGUUUUCAGGCUUGUUUAUGGUCUUGGCCCGACUACAUAGGGUUUAUAGAUUGUCCGAGUUUGGAGAUGUAGGCACAAAGCAUAGAUUUGACAGUCACUUUCAUUUUUAUUUUUUUGUUUCGGAUGUUUGAGUCUAAAAUAGUACAAUGUGGAGGUAUAGGUAUAAGAAUAUGCAGUCCUUGCAUGGAUACAUAUCCUAGCCUGCGUACCGUCAUCGACCAUUGUCGCAGGAGCGAUACCAGAUGUUAUGAGAGUCAGCUUAACCAUGUUUCUGUACCGUCUGUUGGUUUUUAGCGCAGUGACAUGUAUGAUCAGACAUUCUUUACUGGGGUUCUGUCCUACGUCAAUUGAACUUGUAAAACUUCUGUGAUAUUUCAUUUCCUUUUAAUGGAUGAGUGUUCAAAUUGCCUCCAUCGAGUUAAUUAUGCCGGGGAGUGUUUAGAUUAGAUAAUGUCCAAAGGUAGGGUGAGUUUUGCUUGGUCACCAAUAGAUGCAUUUUGACCCAUGUGUUAAUUCACAAUAAGCUUGUAUCAUGGGUUGGCAAUUUCUUGGCCGUAGAAUAGCCUGUGCAGCGCUUGAUGAGAUGAUAAUAUCGGGGCAGCUUCUCUUUUUUUUUAAUGAUUAUUUUAGAGAACAAUAAUGCGGGCCAGCUUUUUUUUAUUAUUAUUAUUAUUAAUUAUUUCAUAGAACAAUAAUGUGAAUAGCUUUUUUGUGUUGGAUCGUAUCACGCGCAGCUUAUUUCAGCUAUUUAUCACGCGCAACUUAUAGCUUGCAGUAGCAUUAUUUCAGCUAUCUAGCUCAUAGAGUAAGACAAUAUAUCACUUUACUUAUCAGUGCCCAACUGAGUUUUCAUAUCCCUGUACAUCAUUCCCCAAAGGAAUGAUAAUUUAUACUAUUACAUAGGUUGUCUGAUUUAUGAGUACAUUUUUCCCUUGGAACCCAUUCUUAUGGAUUUUCAUGUAUUUGAUUAUCACAACUUAGUGAUAUCCCUAAACAUUCCUUUCCGCUCCUUUCUUCACCAACUACCUAUCAAGAUUAGAAAGCAACUAGAUAUCGAUCAUUCUUCCUAGGCCUAGGAUAUUUAUCCUUAUAUCAUUUGGUGCACUCUUAACCCUCAGAAAGCAAGCUUCACUUUCUCCUUUCACAAGUUCAAAUUUAUGCCUAUCACUGAUAUAGUACAAUUGGUUGACAUAUAUAACACAAAUGCACAAAAACAACGAAUGUAUAAUAUCUGCUUUUUGCACAUGCGGAAUAUUGUCUUACAAUAUUCCUCUCCUAGACACAUUACAAGUAUAAUCAUACAUCACUGUGCCCUAUAUGCUAUAGUAGCAAGCCUCGACCAAUGUGCUCAACUUCCAUUUGUCGACUUUAGAACACAAAAGUCCAUUUGGUAGCACUUCUAGGGCAUUCUUUUCUGCUUUGAAAAAGAGGUCGCGACAUUUACUUAGCAAAAAUCUUAUAACAUAAGCUAAAGCAGCUAAAAUCUACUACUCUAGGUUAUCUUGUAAUUUACAUUUUCAAGUUGACUGUUUUACAGAUAAUUUUAUGAUGUUAGCUAUUGAACCUAGUAAUGAUGGAGCAAGGGAAAAAGCUGUGGCUGCUACUAACCUCCAAAACUGUUAAAUGGGCUUGUAGCCUUCAACUAGUUGAUGAGGCUUUCAGCAACCCAGAGGUAUAAAUCAGUAAAAAUCAUUUGACAAAAACAACAUGCAAGUACGUACAGUGGUCUCCUAGAGAUACUGGUUUCCUAAAAAGUGGCAUUCAAUCCAUGAGUUCGUAACAGAAUGGAAGCAAAGUUGGCGAUUCAGUAAGAAUUUCUCAAGCAUAUGCAAUACCUGAACAGCAGGAAGCAUAGAAGAACCUUUUGCCAGAUCAGCUGCUAUACACGAUGCCAAAGUACAUCCUGUACCAUGAGUAUCACGAGUUUUAACACGGGGUGCACACAAGUCAUGUAUCCUUUCACCUACAAAACAUGUUCAAUUUAGUUCAUAAAGUAUAUGAAAAUAUUUAAUAUUGUCCACGGGAUUGGAUUAACAAACGGACAAUAUUGAACUUUUUAAUAUAGUUCAAGUAAUAAGUUGAACGCGUACCAAAAGUUCAUGGACUAUAUCAAACAAAUUAAAAGUUCAGAUACAACAUUGUAUAUUUGGCCAAAGUUUAGAGAUUAUUUGUGUCAUAAUCUCUAAAGCGUACAUCAUCACCAAUACAUCGCCGGAUUCAUCAUGAUAGGAAUUCACUUCUAUACUAUAACAGAAAUUGGGAAGUCAUUCACUAUGCUAUCACAUUCAAUUAUAUCAAAUCUUUGUGAUGUGGAAAUGUAUGAAUCAAGUUUUAUGUCCUUUUACCUAAAAAAAACAAUUGAAUCAAUCGAAAGAUUUGAAUUGCAAUUCUAUCGAGUCCUCGGCUGCCCAAGAUCCGCCUUCAAGUGUACGGCGCGGUCAAUAUCGGCGGUCAAAGUCAAGUCGAAUUCAAGAAAGGAUUCCCAUUUCGUAAAAGCUGAAUUUAGAUAUCAUUUUCACGAUUCAGGAAAACAAAUAAAAGUAUUUUUCCAGAGAUCAUUUUCUAGGAAACCAAACGGAAGUUGAGAAACGGUUUUCUAGCGUCAGGACACUAGCAGGAACAAUCCACCCGGGCGAAUCUGGAUGAUGGUGGCUCAAAACAAGAAAUCUGGCGUUAAUUAGGCUACCGCAUAACCUUGUGGAAACGUGCUUGUAAAGGCCCCAAAACGAAUAGUAAACGUUUUCGAGUACAAUGAUCAAAACGUGUUCCUGAAAUCAGGUCCACGCCAGGCCGAGAGAACAACUAUUUAGAGAGGCUUUGUCCAACAACUAUUUAGAGAAGCUUCGUCGAAAACCAGAAUCCAUUGGCCCAUUGGACACGGACAAGGUAGGCUUCAUUCGUGAGAAACUGUUGGAGCUCGACCACCCUUUAUUCGUUCUUCAGUGAGAUUCAGUAUAGAAAGGAAAAAAAAAAAACAUUUGGUAAUUUGGAAUCUCGUGUCGGGAUAGUUUUUUUUACCUUUCCUGCCCUUCCCGUCAAUCGAUCAUGUAGCAUAUGACCAAUUAUCAUCUUCAUUGCCGACCAUCACCACCACUCCCACCUGUCGUCUUUGCAAGUUUGUCGAUCAUUAAAUCCCACCGUCGCCGGUCACCAAAACUAGUCGGUUGCUUUGGUCACUAUAGGACAUCGACCACCCUUUCUUCGUUCUUCAUGAGAUUCAGUAUAUAAAAGGUUUGGCCUGUGGGCCGUUUAAUAUGUGUCACUAAUUCUGCCUUUAUAGCCUUCUUCCAUCCAAUGGUGCACGAUUUCACUUUUAGUCCCUGUAUUAACUUUUGCACUUAUUAAUGGCGCUUGCAGUUUAAAAUUCAAAGUAAACUGUUUUGAUCGUGAUGGUUCAUAUUGAAGGAUCACUUGCUCUCUUUGGCCUGAUCUUGAAGAGUUUGAUCAUAUGAUGCACGUGUCUCUACCAUAACUUGAAGAAUUUGUAGGUAGUGUCUGCAUAGUCUCUAAGAAUCUGUACCGAACAAUGUUCUACAUACUCAUACAUUCAGUUUGGCAUAUGAAGAUUUAGAAAAUAAGAUUGUUUUAUCGUAGGAUGUUCGCCUAUUCAUCAAAAAAGAUAACAUGAAACUACAGGGGAUUUUAAUUUGUAAAAUAAUGUAAGUUGCCUUUCAACGGAAUUCAAGGAGAGUUAUGUUGUUGUUGACUUCAGAAGAGGAAGAUGCCUGUCUGCUAAACAAACUUGUGGAGGUUAGAUAAAUUUAGAAGUUAAGUCUAUCUGUCACAUGGUUUGGCACCUUCCUGGUCAUUUUGCAAUAACAGAUCUAUAGAUAUAUAAGAAAAGAAAAAAAGAAAAAAGAAUUGCAUGUCUGCUAGAGCUGGGGCUUACGUAUUCAAGAAGUAUAUGGAAUUACAACCUGCUUCCUUGUGCCCUGCAUAAUAUUCUGACUCGAUUGGUUGGAGGUACGAACUUCAUGUAGCUUUAUGAUUGGAUCAUUUUACGUAGUGCAGGUAGGGCAUACUUCAUAAUAUAUUGUGAUUACAUGAAUUGGUCAUCUUAUUUGUUUUGUCUAUCUAGUGCAUUUCUUGGCCUUUGGACUUUUGGUAAUGUGCAAGCUGAAUAGUAUCAGUUCAGCCGUGAGUAAUAGCGACAGCAUUUUCUGAUAAUGUAGGUGCAGUCAGCAUUAGAAAAUGUUGGGGCACCACUUCUUCCAAAGGAAUUAUUAUCGCGCUAUUCUGGAUUGAAGCCUGGAAAGUUUUGGAACGAGGAACAUGCUCAAGUAUUCCUUCUAAGCUGUUUAUUUACUAAAUUGAUGCUUUGACACUUGGUUUCAUAUGGUUGGCAUCGAUUGAAGCAGUGUGCUCUCAACAAGUGCUCCGAAUUAGUAUGUUUUUAAGACCGCUUUUCCAUAUAUCACUUCAGUGUGUGUCCCAUCAUCGCCUCCAGUAUUUCUCCAGGAGACUUCAUGCUACUUUUAGUAAGGAACGAAGCCCUAUAAGAUUAGCAACCCAAUAAUUUACUAAUCCAUUUUCUAAUUUGUUUUUCAUGCUGAUGUGACUGAGAUUCCAAUGGCACUCAUCGGACCAAUCAUUUGGGUAUCAAUCGUCAAGGUUGUAUAUAUAUGUUGAGAAUAAAAUUCCCCUUUACAUCGGAGAGAAGCGUAACACAUAACUUAAUUCUCUUAUAACAAAGUCAAAACGCAGCAUUUGGUGAAAGAUUGUUCACGGAAAUCAAAAUCGGUGAAACGGUGGAAUAUUCAAAGUUUCAUAUGGGGUUGAUGUUGCCAUAACUCUAGUGAAGCUAGAGAUUAAGGCAUCACGACUCAUUUGUUCCAUGAAAAAUCAACACAUUCAAAAAUGUUUUACAAAAACCAAUCAGCUGUAUUGCUUGCAAAAACACGUUAAUGAAAAAAAAAAUCGUCAUCAAAGAAAACAUUUAGGUAUGGACUAUUAUUGAUAAAGAAAGGAAAUAUUUUUCGAAUUAUUUAUAUCGUGUGAAAUAAAGUGCACAAAACUCAAUUAAUUUCUUGACCCAACAAACAUAGAGAGAGAAAUAAAAAGCUCCACUUAUUUAAAAAAAAAAAUGGAAUGAGGGCAACUGGAAAAGGUCCAAGCAUGUGGGAUAGAAUAAAACCUAGAGUCGGGACGGGAGAGAAGAGAACAAACCGAACCGAUAAAAGAGAUUUUAUCGGUUCAUGGUUCGGUUCAGUUCGGUUAAUCGAUAAAAACCGAACCGAUAAAAGAGAUUUCAGUUUUUAAUGAGAACCGAAUCGAAAACUGAACCAAACCGAAGAAAAUUGAUUUUUUCGGUUUGGUUUGGUUCGGUUCUUGACACCCCUGUGGCACGGCACUCACCGCCAGAGUCCGGACAAAAAGUGGCGAACGAAAGGAGCAGCUUCUUCUUCGUUUGACCUUGGAUUGUCUUAUGGGACAAGCAAAGCACAUCUCCGAAUCCCAACGAGUAUAAUCCCCUGACAUUUGCUCCGCCAUCUUUCCAUGGAUUCUUCCGACUCGGAGCGAGGAAAUAUUCUCUUCCGACACAUUCCUAACGUCGCUGCUGCUCACGAGAAGAAGGUAUCGUAUGUAGGGGUGCCAGCGUUCGGUUCGAUUUUGUUUUUAAAAGAAACCGAACUGAACCGAACCAUUAGAAAAAACUUUUUAACCGAACCGAAUGAGGCCCGAACCGAAGUUUCAGUUUAGUUCCAUUCUGUUCGAUUCAGUUUUUCAGUUUUUGAUUUUUAACUUUUAGUUUUCAGUUUUUGCAUUUUUUUUUAUUUAUAUUUUCAAGAAAAAAGCUCUUAUUGGUUUGUUGGUUCGGUUCAAUUCAGGUAACCGAUAACAAAAAAAUUGAUUUUUAAUGAGAACCGAAUCGAAAAAACCGAAUUUUUCUGUUCGGUUCAGUUUUUGACACCCCUAAUCGUAUGAACAGACAUGUGAAAGGGUGUGGUCAAUAAAACCAAUUGCAAUAUUCUUCUAACUAAUUUGCUAAUCUUGAAACUUAUAAAUGCUUGGAAACUAUAUUCAUUUCAUUGCCUCCUAGAGAGUUUCUUCGUGUAUAUAUUAGGUCGUAAAAUAGGGAUACUAGAUUUAUGACGUUAAAUUUUUGUAUUCGACUUCAACCUUUCUAAAAAUAAAAUAAAAAAAACAAAAAUGAACUGUAUAUGAACUCAAUUAUUUUUUAGUGAGACUCGGCGUGGAUCUCACAAAUUGUCGAGAUAUGAUUGACUUGAUUUAGUGGACUUAUAGUUUGUUUGGUAAAAGCAAAAGCUCAAGAUACAUUGAAUCGUUAUAACAGUUGAAAAUAUAAAUAAAAGGCUGUUUGAUAAUAACCAAAAAUUCGCGAGGAGCCGGCAAUCAAAUGAUUCAGGAAAAAAAAAAAAAGACUGGAUAAAACCUCCCAAAACCAGGUGCGGGCUUAGCUUCUCUUAGGAAAAUUUGCUAGGACACUUGAGUCUCCUUUUGGCCCGUGUUGUUGGUUUUAUUGGCUUUUAACCUUUGUAUUAUUUUAUUUAUUUAUUUUGUAAUUAGGUCUCUAAGUUGACUGAGUUAUGCAAUUGGGUCCUUUCCGUCGCCCACCAAACAAGUCACGUCCUUGCACUAAUAAAAUAUUUUAGGGAACAUGAUUCCUCCAAAAAGUUGGAUCAAUCCAUAGCGUGUAUGAAGGUAAGGAGACUAGAAAAUAAAAUAUAAAAAAAUUCUUGGAUUUUUUGCACGUGGUGCACGUUAGUUGUGAAUCGUUAUACUUGUGGAUUAAAUAAUACUUUCGUUCGGUGUUCAUAUUAUUCAAUGUGCUCAGUUUUAUGAUAAUGAAAAAAACGUGGGCACAAUGAAAUUAUCAACCUUUUCUUUCCCUAGGCAAGAGGGAGAGAUUAGAGUUAAUUUUUUUUUUUAUAAAAAAUAAAAUUAUAUAAUUUUUGCACAGUAUCAUUAAAUCACGAGUACUAAGUCGAUAAGUCGGUUGAAUGAUACCGUACAAAGUACAGGCCGACCAGUAGGAACUCUUUCGAGUUCCACCAUCUUAUCCUAGGCAUAUAUGUCUACUGAUGGUAGUCACUUUCAAAGAAGUGAUGAGCAGUCUAUCUUCCCUCUAAUGGUUCCUCUAAUUGUUCUUGUAUUUUUGUCUUCCUCAAGAGUAUAAAAUGCCCUUUUUAAGUGUUUAACUUCCGAGGGAUGUUGAGAUCCGUACGAGGUCCCAAACAAAAUAGUUUAAGGUGAUGUCUAAAAUUGAGAUUAUAAUAACACUAGAGUUAAUUUUUUUUAAAAAUAAAAUAAAAUUAUAUCAUUUUUGUAUUGCCUUUUUUUCCUUUUGAAUUUUCCACGGAAAAGGCCAAAAAAAGAAAAGCACAUGUGCAUGUUCAGCACGCGUUCAAAGUGCCACCUACGUACUUCUCCUGCGCUUAACGGUCUUCUCGUAAUCAUGAGUCGAACCUCAUCCGAAUGCUAUUAAAAAAAAAAAAAAAACCAAAAGAGGAAGAAGAAAGAAGAGAUCCACGAUACCACCGCCUGUAAUGACCUAGUUGGAUAAGAGCUCCCAUGAUCCUUUAUCAGAUGAUAGGAGUUCGAAUCCCGCUGACCGCACAAGAUCUUAAGUGCGACGUCGGGGUGAUGGAUCCUCCAUUAGCGUCACCCUAGGGUUUAGUCCCGUUAUCCCCUUGUUGGGCUAUCUGUGUUGGUACGGUGUGCGGAUUGCUUGGGUCAUAAAAAAAAAAAAAUUCACAAAUGGGUUUGUAGUACAUGCUCUUAUUUUUACAUGAUAAUUCAGAGCUCGAAAUAAAUUUCAUACUUCUAUUCAAAUAUUUUAUCGUUCAAUAAUAGGCUCUUAUUCCUUAAAAAUGAUAAAUUAUAACAAUCGACACGUGUCACGUGUGAAUGUGGGUCAGCGAUUCUCGGCUGAGAAUCUCCCGACAUUCGGUUCUCGAAUCUGACAAUUUUACACACGCCCACCAGUGGCUGUCCUUUUCACUUAGGGACCAAGUCAGAAUGCCACUUCCCUAUCACCUACUCUUCUCCCCCUCUUCCUCCUCUUCCUACUUCGAAUCCAAGCUUGAAGAUCAGCACACCCAUCUUCGUCUCCCUUCGAUCCGCCCCUCUCCGAGCCUCUUCGGGUCGCUGGCUCGCCUCCUGAAUCUCUCCUGGGAUCUGGGUCCUUGGACCGCGCGCUUGAAGCGAGCUCCCCUGUUUCUUGAUCGGCGGAUAAGGUAGGAAGGAGCGGCGGCGGCCGCGGGUGAAAGCAUGGUGAAGUACGAGCUGGUGAAGGACAUAGGAUCUGGACGCUUCGGGGUGGCCAGGCUCAUGAAAAACAAGGAGACGGAGGAGCUCGUCGCCGUGAAGUACAUCAAGCGCGGUCAUAAGGUGGGGGUGGGUGUGAGUGUCUGUUUCUUUUUCGGGUUCUCUGUUGUAAAUUUUUCAGCUUUCGGGGUUUUCUUUCGUACCCAGUUGGGAAAAUCGAAUCGUGGGUGUUGUUGGAUGUUGUUGGAGCUUGCUGAUGUGAUUUUGGUUGAUUGGUCUUGUUGGUUUUGGGUUGUAGAUUGAUGAGAAAGUGGUUAGAGAGAUUAUGAAUCACAAGUCGCUUUUCCACCCUAACAUCAUCCGCUUCAAGGAGGUAAGUUUUGUCGUUUGAUGCUCUCGUGAUGCCUGUCUUUUUUUUUCUUUUUUUUUCUGGGCUUUAUUUCGUGGGCAUUGUGUGGAGCGAUUUCUUGUGAAUGUUUAGUGGACGACUUGAAUGCGUGAGCUUGAAGCGAUGAUUGAUACGAUGCAGGUUGUUCUGACUCCUACUCAUCUCACCAUCGUGAUGGAAUAUGCAGCUGGUGGAGAGUUGUUUGAGAGGAUCUGCAAUGCUAAGAGAUUUAGUGAAGAUGAGGUCUGCUAAGUAUUUUCCUGAUUUGAGUGUUUUAUCGAUGAUUAUGAUGCAAAGUUGGGUUGUCAGGCCAAACGAAAUCACCUUGAAACAUAGACUUUAUGUUGCUAAUUGCUUUAGUUACUGAAAGAUUAAACAAAAGGGGAAAACUUUCCAUUUCAGGUAAGGCCAAACAAAAAAAAAAAUCUGUCCGGUUUGUCCUUCUGUUUGGAGAUUACACUGAGCUCGGCGUGUUUGAUUUUGAGCUCAAGAUUUGCUUUGUUGUAAUUCACGCAGGCUAGGUAUUUCUUCCAGCAACUCAUCUCAGGAGUCAGCUACUGCCAUG
rnacentral:lncRNA from 1 species